rnacentral:tRNA from 1 species
GGAGAGGUGGCUGAGUGGUUUAAAGCGUUGGUCUCGAACACCAAUAUAGUUGAAAAACUAUCAAGAGUUCAAAUCUCUUCCUCUCCG